GUAACGGCGAGUGAAGCGGCAACAGCUCAAAUUUGAAAUCUGGCUUCGGCCCGAGUUGUAAUUUGUAGAGGAUGCUUUGGGCGCGGCUCCAACUGAGUUCCCUGGAACGGGACGCCACAGAGGGUGAGAGCCCCGUAUAGUUGGAUGCCUAGCCUGUGUAAAGCUCCUUCGACGAGUCGAGUAGUUUGGGAAUGCUGCUCUAAAUGGGAGGUAAAUUUCUUCUAAAGCUAAAUAUUGGCCAGAGACCGAUAGCGCACAAGUAGAGUGAUCGAAAGAUGAAAAGCACUUUGAAAAGAGGGUUAAAUAGCACGUGAAAUUGUUGAAAGGGAAGCGCUUGUGACCAGACUUGGGCCUGGCGGAUCAUCCGGUGUUCUCACCGGUGCACUCCGCCAGGCACAGGCCAGCAUCGGUUCUCGUGGGGGGAUAAAGGUCCCGGGAACGUAGCUCCUCCGGGAGUGUUAUAGCCCGGGGCGUAAUGCCCUCGCGGGGACCGAGGUUCGCGCAUCUGCAAGGA
rnacentral:rRNA from 1 species